UACGUAGGGAGCAAGCGUUGUCCGGAAUCAUUGGGCGUAAAGCGCGCGUAGGCGGCCUCAUAAGUCCGUUGUGAAAGUCAAAGGCUCAACCUUUGAAAGCCGAUGGAUACUGUGAGGCUAGAGUCCGGAAGAAGCGAGUGGAAUUCCUGGUGUAGCGGUGGAAUGCGCAGAUAUCAGGAGGAACACCAAUAGCGAAGGCAGCUCGCUGGGACGGUACUGACGCUAAGGCGCGAAAGCGUGGGGAGCGAACAGG
rnacentral:rRNA from 1 species